UGGGGAAUUUUGGACAAUGGGCGCAAGCCUGAUCCAGCCAUGCCGCGUGCAGGAUGAAGGCCUUCGGGUUGUAAACUGCUUUUGUACGGAACGAAAAGACUCUGGUUAAUACCUGGGGUCCAUGACGGUACCGUAAGAAUAAGCACCGGCUAACUACGUGCCAGCAGCCGCGGUAAUACGUAGGGUGCGAGCGUUAAUCGGAAUUACUGGGCGUAAAGCGCGCGUAGGUGGUUAGUUAAGUUGGAUGUGAAAUCCCCGGGCUCAACCUGGGAACUGCCUUUGUGACUGCAUAGCUAGAGUACGGUAGAGGGGGAUGGAAUUCCGCGUGUAGCAGUGAAAUGCGUAGAUAUGCGGAGGAACACCGAUGGCGAAGGCAAUCCCCUGGACCUGUACUGACGCUCAUGCACGAAAGCGUGGGGAGCAAACA
rnacentral:rRNA from 1 species